CUACGGGCUGCAGCAGUGGGGAAUAUUGGACAAUGGGGGAAACCCUGAUCCGGCAAUGCCGCGUGUGUGAAGAAGGCCUGCGGGUUGUAAAGCACUUUCGGUUGGGAGGACUGCUUCUAGCACUAAUAUUGUUGGAAGUUGACGUUACCUUCAGAAGAAGCACCGGCUAACUCCGUGCCAGCAGCCGCGGUAAUACGGAGGGGUGCAAGCGUUAAUCGGAAUUACGUGGGCGUAAAGCGCGCGUAGGCGGCUAGAUCAGUCGGGUGUGAAAGCCCCGGGCUUAACCUGGGAACUGCAUACGAUACUGUCUAGGUUGAGUACAGGAGAGGGGAGUGGAAUUCCACAUGUAGCGGUGAAAUGCGUAGGUAUGUGGAGGAGCACCAAUGGCGAAGGCAGCCCUCUGGCCUGAUACUGACGCUGAGGUGCGAAAGCGUGGGGAGCAAACAGGAUUAGAUACCCCGGUAGUC
rnacentral:rRNA from 1 species